CAGAAUGUGCCUGAAUAACUCUGAAGGUUAAAAUAUGUUGACUGAAUUUUCUGCUGCUACCAUUCAGCAGCAGCUAGGCUGUGCCUCUAAUGAUCGUGAUACAUAGUGGAAAUUUUCCUGGCUUCUAUACAUCAUCAUCUCUGCCUGGUUAAGUAAAGGACACUGAACAAGUGAGAAACUGUGCUGAAAACAACAGUGGCCAAGGCAGAGAUAUUCUUAUACCCCAACCCGUUGUGCAGAUGGAAGUCUGGCCAAAAAACCAUAAAGCAUCAAGUCUGACUGUGAGUCAAUCUGUCAGCACAAGUACAAGAAAAGUCUUCCUUACUUCCGUCGGGCGCUGUGGCUCAUUCCUGUAAUCCCAGCACUUUGGGAGGCCGAGGUGGGCAGAUCACGAGGCGGGCAGAUCACGAGGUCAGGAGAUCGAGACCAUCCUGGCUAACACGGUGAAACCCCGUCUCUACUAAAAAUACAAAAAAAAAUUAGCCAGGCUUCGUGGCAGGCGCCUAUAGUCCCAGCCAUUUGGGAGCCUGAGGCAGGAGAAUGGCGAGAACUCAGGAGGCGGAGCUUGCAGUGAGCCGAGAUCGCGCCAUUGCACUCUAGCCUGGGCCCAGAGCGAGACUACA
rnacentral:lncRNA from 1 species